UACGUAGGAUGCAAGCGUUGUCCGGAAUUAUUGGGCGUAAAGAGUUCGUAGGCGGUUGCCUAAGUCUGGUGUUAAAUACAGGAGCUCAACUCCUGCAUGGCACUGGAGACUGGGCAGCUAGAGUGUGGUAGAGGUCACGGGAAUUCCAGGUGUAGCGGUGAAAUGCGUAGAUAUCUGGAGGAACACCAGUGGCGAAAGCGCGUGACUGGGCCACAACUGACGCUGAGGAACGAAAGCCAGGGGAGCGAAAGGG
rnacentral:rRNA from 1 species